UACGUAGGGCGCAAGCGUUGUCCGGAAUUAUUGGGCGUAAAGAGCUCGUAGGCGGCCUGUCGCGUCCGCUGUGAAAUCCCGGGGCUCAACCCCGGGCCUGCAGUCGAUACGGGCAAGCUAGAGUUCGGCAGGGGAGACUGGAAUUCCUGGUGUAGCGGUGAAAUGCGCAGAUAUCAGGAGGAACACCGGUGGCGAAGGCGGGUCUCUGGACAGUUCCUGACACUGAGACACGAAGGCCAGGGGAGCAAACGGG
rnacentral:rRNA from 1 species